rnacentral:rRNA from 1 species
AGAGUUUGAUCCUGGCACAGGAUGAACGCUAGCGGCAGGCCUAACACAUGCAACUCGAGGGGCAGCAUAGAUUAGCUUGCUAAUUUGAUGGCGACCGGCGCACGGGUGCGUAACGCGUAUGCAACCUACGCGCUGUACUGGGGGAUAUCCCGGAGAAAUCCGGACUAAGACCCCAUGGCAUAAUUGAUUGGCAUCAAUUGAUUAUUAAAGGUUACGGUACAGGAUGGGCAUGCGUCCCAUUAGCUAGAUGGUAAGGUAACGGCUUACCAUGGCGACGAUGGGUAGGGGGCCUGAGAGGGUGAUCCCCCACACUGGUACUGAGACACGGACCAGACUCCUACGGGAGGCAGCAGUGAGGAAUAUUGGUCAAUGGUCGGAAGACUGAACCAGCCAUGCCGCGUGCAGGAAAGACGGUCCUAUGGAUUGUAAACUGCUUUUAUCUGGGAAUAACCCCUUUACGUGUAAAGGGCUGAAGGUACCGAAGAAUAAGCACCGGCUAACUCCGUGCCAGCGCC